GAGUGGCAGAAGCAGGUUUCCACGCGAGCUCGUUCCUCUGCGUUCCGGCAGCCCUGCGUGAGCGUUCCAAGACCUCGCCCCCCACUUCAUGGCUUUUCAAAGAUCUAGAGGUAAUAGCAAAACUGAAAUAUGGAAACGAAUACGUGUCUGUAUAUGCGUGACUGGGACAUGGUGCGGGACGCCAGAAACAGCCACAUUGUAACUGACGAUACUUAAAUAAAAGUAAAACAAAUUUAAAUUAAAAAAAGAUGUACUAUCAAAACGACUCUUCCUCGGACUCAGCCCUUUGCAGCGGGUUUUAUCUGCAGACGCCGCGGGACACAGUGUGCGCGCUCAGUCCAGGCCGGCCCCGCCGCGCCUGUCAGUCUGGGGCCUCCGCACCUGCAGCCUCCAACGUGGUGCUCACGCGCGCCUUUCCCAGCCGUCAGAUCGCAGAAGUCAAGUGCGGUCGGCUUCGUGCGGACCUAGCAAGACCUUGCCUCCCAGCACUCUUUUCUUCCACCAGUCGGUCUCCUGUUCGCAUCUGCCCCUCCAGGCACUGAAAGUCUGCUCUCCUUACUUUAGGAAAGUCGUUGUAUGCUAAAUUCAGUGUCCGUUAUGUGACCUGUUUUCUCACACGUCUCCGCCUUCUAAUUCAGUAACUCUCAAAGUGUGAUUCCCCAGGCCUCUGAAAGUCUCCAAGACCUUUUCAGGGCUCUCAAGGCUGAAGACACUCUCCAUCGUAAACGACACGUUCUUUGUGUUUCAUUCUGGGUUCACCCAGCACUGCUGACGUCACCCCAGCAGGAGUCCAGAGGGUGGCACGAAACGACCCCACUCGUCUCUCAUCUCUGCCACACACUCCCAGUUUCUUUUUUAGUUUAAUUUAGAAAUAUCCUUGAUAAAAUGGUAAAAAAAAAAUAUUGUUCUAACUGCAACCCGAGCACACUCUUUGUAACGCUUUGAGUUGCGGAAGGCACGCGUGCCCUCUUGCUGUGCACCGAAGCAGCACUGUCCCCCGAGGGAAGACACUUGCUUCAGUGGCUCAGCUGCAAAGGGAACUAGCUGCUUUUCACGGAGGACCGUUCUUCCUUGAAAGGACAACUGACACAAAAACCAACGUUACUCUGACUUGGGAAGUGAGACACACUUCUCCAAAAUGAAUAAAGUGAGCCGGACGCUUCAAGCAAAGCAACUGAGAGUGUUUGUUGCCAAUGUAAACUAAAAAAGAAAAAGAUGUUGAAGAACAGUUUUCAUGUUUGGAGUAGCUGAGUAAGGAGCUGUUUUGUGCUUAUAAAAGGACAAGGCUCCUCUUUGGAGACAUAUCUGGCUGGAGGGCUGCAGCAGGAAAUGCAAGAUGAGCUGGAACAUCUCGGUGUAAGGAAGUAAGGAAGUGCUCAGAGAAAAAAAUCCACGUUGGUAGGAGCCUGUCAGAGGGCACUGGAGCCCACUGAAGCUCCCAUCAGCCAAAGCUAGAAUGUGUGGGCAAGAAAAUACAGGAGCCGUGGAUUACAGCCCCUCGGACCAAGUGAUACCAUGGGCCCAUCCUGAGAUACAGAAAUUACUGAAUGAGGCAUUACCUCGGGGGGAGGAAAUGGCCUCCUGCGGGAGAGUCCCGAAUCAAUUCUGUAGGUAUUCCAGCUGAAGGAAGGGGAGUAUAACUCCCCCCUCCCUAAGUAUAGACUGGGAAAGGCGACUUUCUUCCAAAGAAUACAACAGAGAAAGGGAAUUUAAGUUCUCUACAGUGGAGAAACCUGGCACAGGUCCUCUCAGCCAGGUGAUGAAGGUCGACAUGAGCAAUGAUGACGCGCUGCUGGCAGUGUGUCCCCUUGAAGCCCUGAGAGGAGGGUAUUUACGUCUGUGAUCUUCCUCCCCACCCCCAGUUCCAGUCUAAUCAUGAGGAAAAUGCCAGGAGAGGGGCAUUGUACAAGAUACCCGGCCAGUCUUCCUCAGAACUGUCAAGCUCAUUGACACCAAGAUAAGCCUUAUCUCCAUAAAUCUGAAAGAAAAAAAAACACAAAGACACAAACAACAAAACAAGGACUCUCGUCUGUGGAAGUUGUAUUCCUCCUCCAAGACCCUGUUCUUCCAACCAUCCUAACCCUACCAUCAAGCUGAGCUAGUAUUGACAGUCGUACUUCUGCAUGAACACCCUCCCUUUCAUUCUGUAACAUAGCUACUCACAUAUAGAUCACCCUGACUAAACGUCAGGCUCUGUGAAGGGUCUGAGAAUUUAUACUACUUGGAAGCAUAUAAGUCGCCGCUGUUUCAUGGAUGUGGGCAGAAGACAGGAAACUCCCGGAUCCAAGACAAAGACUUUGUUAUGUACGUCACAGCGGGAAGCGUGGGCUUCACAUUCACACUGGUUUCCCGUGUCCCCCAGCGAGUGCCACGGGGGUGACAUGAAGCAGCCCAGGUGACUGUUGAGUCCAUGGCGGAUCUGUGUUAUAUCUGAGGAACCCUGAGCUCAGGAAUCUCAAAUCUUUAACAAUCAGCUGCUUUGUAAUAGCCUGUUUGCUAUUCAGCAUCCUUGAAAAUGUGGUCUGGAGCAAAAGUAGUCAGUGCUGCUGUCUGCAAGAUGAACAGAAAUACGAGAGAGCCACGGGGAAAAUCUGCCAACACUAGACUGAAAAGCUACCAAGCAACGACUAUGUGCAAAACAGCAGGGAAGAUAUAAGAAGGCUGAGACAUGACCAAUGGGACACUCAAUGAAUGUUGAUUGCAUGAACGAAUGAUUUGAGUAAGUGGGAAAUUACUGGGCCACAUGGGUAUGUGUAUUUCCAUGACAGACAUAUUUGCCUCUAGUUCCAUAUUCCUGCUGCACAAUCUAAUGUCCUUGAUUUUGGAAGUAAGCUUUGGAAUCAAUUAUUAAAUUGAUUUUGUUUUCAUAUUUUUUUGGGAGGGGGGAGGUAAUUAGGUUUAUUUUUAUUUAUUUAUUUUUAAAGGAGGUACCAGGGACUGAACCCAGGUCCUUGUGCAUGCUAAGCAUGUGCUCUACCACUGAGCGAUACCCUCCCUCUAAGUUGGUUUCCUGACUGGCAAUGGGCCUCAUGUGAAUCUGGUUAGCAUGGACGAGUUAACCUUAGGACCUUCAGAGUCUCGAUAGCAGUUAAAGGAGACUCAGUACUCUGCCUCUGCCUUGCCUUCUGGCCUUGGAGGCGCUCCCUCUCCUGUGUGUACUCUAUGCUCCAGCCAUGUCAGUCCCCCUGCGCUGCCUGACUCCAGACGCCUUCGUUUGCAGAGCCUUUCCACAGGCGUCCUUUGCCCAGAACAAUUCUGUACUGACUCUCCUCCAAGAUAACUCCUUCCCAUCCUUCAGGGUUCAGCUGAAAGCUUCUUGUUCAGAACCAACCUGCUGCUUAGACUUGAUUGGGUUCCUGUUUCAUGUCCUUGAUCACAAGUGUCAUCAAGUAAUUAUUUGCAUGAUUGUUUACUUAAUGUCUGUCUCCUCCACUUUUCUGGGUGGGGACCACGUAUAUCUUGCACCAUCGUAUCCUUAUACGUGGUACAGUGCUUGAGACACGGUCAGUCCUAAUAAUUACUGUUGAAUCAAUGGGUGGAGGAGCAAUAUUGAAGUUGACCAUCACCACUGCCCCUAACUACACUAUGAAAUAUGAAUCUGCCUCUGAGGCAAGAGGGUGACAUUAGUGUCACCGCAUUCACAGCUGUGAUUAGCAGUCAUCGCCAGGUGUGCUCUUACCUGUGGAGGUCUGAUGCUCAUGUAGAUCUCAGCGCAAUGGGAUCUCAGCUCCCUUGGCCAGAGAGCCACUAACAAUUGACCAUUGAGAUCCAUUUGUUCAUUCUUGAUGUAUUUGUUUUGUGAUCCAAAGAGCAUCUAGUUAGAUGAUUGAUUACAUUAUAAAUUUAACAAAAUAUCUGAGCCACCAUGGAGAAUAAAGCAUGAGGUAACUCUCCAGCUAUGUUGUUCUGUUAUUCAACUCAUCCACUGAGUUCUUUAUUCCAUUAAUAUUAGUCAUACCCAAUAUCCAACUCAAAAAUAUGUAUUUUUGCAUUGUGUUUCCAACACUUUUCCUUCUUUCUCUGAAGGUUUUUAGUAAGUGCAUUUGAAAUUCUUAUUCUGUCUGAUCCCACCAGUUUGCCUUUCUCUGAUAACAGCAGUUCUACGAGUGGUUUACCUGAAUCGUUAUCUUGCUGUCAGAGGUUUUGUAAGUUCUCCCCUGGUGCCUGUAUGUAUUCCUUGGGACUGUCAGCUGCCUUGGCUAGUAAUGUCCACCUGAGAGAAAGAGAGAAAAGCCUAGAUGUGGGUUUGUGCUGCUCCGGGUGAGCUUAGGACUUGGGAAGAGGGGUAUUUCAUGAGAAAAAUCUUUAUUCUUUAGGCAAAGAUUUCUUAGGUAUGACACCAAAGUCUUGGUCCAUAACAUAACAAAUUGGGGGGAGGGUAUAGCUCAAGUGGUAGAGCACAUGCUUAGCAUGCACGAGGUCCUGGGUUCCAUCCCCAGGACCUCCUCUAAACAUAAAUAAAUAAGCCUAAUUGCCCCCCUCAAUAAAAAACAUAAAAUAACUUUGAUAGAUUGGAUUUCAUAGAAGUUAAAAACUUCUUCAAAAGCUGUUAUUAGGAUAAUGAGACAAGCUGAGAUAGGGAGAAAAUACUUGCAAAACACAUAUAUAGUAAGGACUUUUAUCCAGAAUGUGUAAAUAAUUCUCCAAAGUCAAUAGUAAGAAAAUUUAAAAACCAAUUAAAAAACAGGCAAAGACAUUUCACCAAAGAUAUAGAGAGGGCAAAUGAGCACAUGAACACGUACUCGGCAUCCUCAGUCAUUGGGGAAAUGCAAAUAAAAACAACAGCAAGAUUCCUCUGUAUGCCUACAGGAUGGCUAACUGCGACAUAAUAAGAAGUAUGUACUUGGUCACUGCCCCGGGUUCCUGACACAGAGCUCCUAAGACCCUUGUGAUGUGCUGAGCGUUAGGGAUGCUGGGAGCAUCUUUUGUUCUAAUGUUUUGUCUUUGGCUUCAGUCCCUGAUACAGAGCCCCUCAGUCCCUUGGAAUUUCCUGAGUGAUAGGAGCAUCUUUUGUUCUAAUGAGCUGACUCUUGGUGGCCUCCUGGGUGGCGUCAGGAUGGAGGCCGGUCACCAGAAAGACCAAGCCAUGAUUAGAAGCUCGGAAUUUUUGGCUUCGGGGGAAGGAAGGGGGCUGGAGUUUAUCUACAUGAUGCAGCCUCCAUAACACUCUCUAAACUACGUGAUUCUGAGAGUUUCCAGGGUGAACACAUCCAUGUGCUGAGAGGGUGGCACACCCCAACCUCAAGGGACAGAAGCUCCUGCACUUGGGACCCUUUCAGACCUGUUUCUCUUCAUCUGCUUGUUCGUCUGUAUCCUUUGUAAUAAACCAAUAAACAUAC